CCCUCUCUGAGCGCUCCACAGACGGGCCACGGCCUCCGCUUUCUACUGGGCGGGGAGCCUUGGCCUGCGGCUUCCCCCGACCCUGGUUUGAUGACAUUCCAGGUGGGAGCUUCCGUCGGACAGAACGGCUAGUUUCCAGCCCUGGCCGCCUGCCUCCCGAGCUCUGACCCGGCAGUUUCCAUCCUUAGCCCUGACCGUUUCCAUUCCGUAAUCAUUAUGGUCCAUUUUAUGAAAAUAGAACUCGCCAGCGAAUCACAGACGACCAGGAGGCAGGAGGCCCUUGUCUUUCCUAGCUAACAGCAAUACUAGUUCAUCUUGUGUUGAACUUAGUCCGCUACGUGAUUUUGCCCACGGAGGAUGGAGAAUUCAGAGUGGAGACUAUGCUAGAUAGCGAGAUUAUAGAAUCUCUGAAGAACUUGUACAAUGAGGAAUCCAGGGGACAGGGUCUGCCAUGGGGGUUAUAAAACAUGCCUGGCAUUUCUGCCUUUCCUAAGGGUCUCACUGGCUGGCCUUGAACAGAGAUCUGCCUAUUUCUGCCUCCCAAGUGCUGGGAUUACAAAUGUGCGACAGCAGGCCUGAGCUUGAGCUACACUCUCUGUUUGGCCUGGAACUCCUCAAGCAGGCUGGACUGGCCCACUGCUGCAGCCUUAGAGAUCCACUUGUUUUCUCCCCAGCGCCGGAAUUAUAAGCCCUCAGCACUAGACCCAGC